ACGCUCGACACCUACGGGAAGCAGCAGGUGGGGAAUAUUGCACAAGUGGGGGAAACCCUGAUGCAGCGACGCCGCGUGAGCGAAGAAGUAUUUCGGUAUGUAAAGCUCUAUCAGCAGGGAAGAAAAUGACGGUACCUGACUAAGAAGCCCCGGCUAACUACGUGUCAGCAGCCGCGGUAAUCUGAGGCGGGCUGGCAAGGC
rnacentral:rRNA from 1 species